GCCAAACUUUCUUUCGAUUUUUAGUGGUACAGGAGUAGCAGAUACUGGUAGACAAGCUUAGAGCGCCCUCUAGUUGCUGUCAGUGUAAAAAUAACAAACGUGAAAUUAUAUAAUUUGAUAUAUAAGUCGCACCUGAGUAUAAGUCGCACCCCCAGCCAAACUAUGAAAAAAAGUGUGACUUAUAGUCCGGAAAAUACGGUAAUGAAAUUUGCUAUUUUGAAUGACAAAGCCUCAAAUCCAUGGCAAUCAGAGCUGUUCUGUCAGUUUUUCAGAUACUUUUGGGCCGGUUUAGCUGCUGAUAAUACCUGAUCGUGCUUCAGACCAAGCAAUGGACCAAGUUUAACGUCGCGUGUGUGUGCGUGUCCGUGGCGCUGUACUUUCUCGUCACCAAAAUCACUCAGAGUCAAAUGCUGUUUGAGAGAUCACCGUUCGACUAUUACUUUAUUGGUACGAGCCGUUUAUCCAAGUCAACACGUGUUUGGCAUGAAGAUCUUAUUCGCACAGUUUUCAGCGUAUAUGUAGAUGCAGUUCCUCGGUCAGUCUGUCAUCAUUGUGCGCGUGUGCAAAUGUGCCUCUACAGGAGCAGCUGAUAAGGCCUUCAUUGAUCCGGUGGUGUGGCUCACAGCGAUGCUUACUGCCUGGACAGCUGUUUUGCCCUCGGUGACGAUCCAUGCUUUCAAUGUCAUUCGCAAAGGCAACGACAAACACAAGGUGCACAGUGUCUUUCCGAAGGGAGUGGAGCUGAAAUCCCAGUUACCGCGGCAGCAGUCUCUCCGCCGUUCGUCUCCUAGCCGACAGAGGUCCUCGACAUCCAACGGACACGCGGCGCUCGCCCCGAGAGCCAGCACCGUGCCGACAGUGGACAAGAAGGUGACCGCCGUCUAAACCCACCGCCACCUCUGACGCCAAUUAAUUUCUGUGUGAAGAACUACAGUGUUGCCAAACGUUGUGGGAAAAAAUCGAUCGGAGCCAAAUGUUACUGGACGAUGCACUUUGAAUAACAUUAAGCCAGACUUCCCCGAUUUCUCAUGCUAAAUAAUUAUUAUGACCCUUGGAAGUUGGACUUUAAAGCGGCAUAAAGCAAAGAGAGGCCAAGCGCUAUUUGAAUACAAACCAACCGAGCAACUGUGACACCUGAAUGAUUUUAUAACCUACUUUAUAAAUGACUUUUUAUGUUUGUAUUUAUAUAUUUAUACUUUUUUAAGAAUAAAAAAUAGUUCAUAUGUUAUGCUUUAUUAAAAACACAAUUAUCAAGGAAAUGCAAUAAAACCACAGACACUG
rnacentral:lncRNA from 1 species